AUGCCAGACUCCUACGGGAGGCAGCAGUGGGGAAUAUUGGGCAAUGGGCGCAAGCCUGACCCAGCAACGCCGCGUGAAGGAAGAAGGCUUUCGGGUUGUAAACUUCUUUUAUGAGGGACGAAAGAAAUGACGGUACCUCAUGAAUAAGCCACGGCUAAAUACGUGCCAGCAGCCGCGGUAAUACGUAUGGAGCAAGCGUUAUCCGGAAUUACUGGGUGUAAAGGGAGCGUAGGCGGCAAGGCAAGUCUGAUGUGAAAACCCAGGGCCCAACCCUGGGACUGCAUUGGAAACUGUAUUGCUUGAGUACCGGAGAGGCAGGCGGAAUUCCUAGUGUAGCGGUGAAAUGCGUAGAUAUUAGGAGGAACACCAGUGGCGAAGGCGGCCUGCUGGACGGUAACUGACGCUGAGGCUCGAAAGCGUGGGGAGCAAACAGGAUUAGAUACCCCAGUA
rnacentral:rRNA from 1 species